CCGGGAGGUUGGCGAGUGUGCGCGCGUGUGUGUGCGCAGCGCGUGUGUGCGUGUGCGCGCGUCUACAGGUAGCAGCGGCGGCGGGGACCCGAGCAGGGGACGCUUCGGCAGCUACCUCCCGCCUGUGAUUUUUCGGAGGCGAUUGCUCACUUAGCUGACGGAUCUGUAGCCCCGGGAGAUCUCGUCCUCUCCAUUUCCACGCUGUUUAGGCGUCUUCCGUUUCAAGUGUGUGUUUGGGGUAUUUUUUUUUUUCUUUUAGAUGUUUUUCGUCUCCCACUAAAUCUUCUCGGGAAUACUGCAUAUCGAAGCAGGUGGUUCCUGGUACGAAAUCUUUGGAUACAUUUUAUUUGCCAAGUUUUGCUUCUCCCUAUCCCCUCCCGCUUUGAGAGGCAUCCUUGGUGCUUUUCUUUCGGAUUUACAUGCAGAAAACGUAUCUAUGUUUAUAUGCCGACCGGAUAAUUUAUAAGUACGUACAUAUACGCGUGCCCAAGCACCUGGCUUUCGUCUCCUUCCCGACCAGGAGGAAUGUUUUGGAGCCCAUGGAUAAGGAGCACAGUAUUAACAUUCUUCUAAGGCUGUUUUUCAAAAAGGGGAGGGAGCGUGAAGAAUUGUUUAACAUUCGGCCGCCGUUUGGCUGCACACUAAGCACCACGAAGUAUUUAUGGUUGCAGAUCAGGUGCAAACGGGGCUUACAGAGAAAGGAUAUAGACCCGCAGCUAACUGGAUUUGAUUUAUAAGAAGGAAAUCUACAGUCAAUGGCCA
rnacentral:lncRNA from 1 species